UACGGAGGGUGCAAGCGUUAUCCAGAUUUACUGGGUUUAAAGGGUGCGUAGGCGGGCCUUUAAGUCAGUGGUGAAAGCUCCGAGCUUAACUCGGAAACUGCCAUUGAUACUAUUGGUCUUGAAUUCGGUCGAGGUUGGCGGAAUGUGUCGUGUAGCGGUGAAAUGCUUAGAUAUGACACAGAACACCGAUUGCGAAGGCAGCUAGCUAGACCGACAUUGACGCUGAGGCACGAAAGCGUGGGGAUCAAACAGG
rnacentral:rRNA from 1 species